ensembl:processed_transcript
GUCACCUGGAGGUCAGGAGGAGGCACGUAUAUGAUCUGGUCGAGUCGUCCAGGUCUGAGCAGAGCGCUGUCCAGAGCCUCGGGUCUGUUAGUGGCGGCCACAAUCAAAACAUCCUUAUUGCACACUUCCUGCAGCUCCAUCUGAAAUGUGCUCCGUCUCUCCAGCGUUCGCACGCCCACCCCAUCCAGCUCCGUCAGCAGAACCGACAGAACCUGCGACUGCACGCUGUGGGAAGAAGAAGAGCCGUCCUCUCGAGAGCCCACCAUACUGUCCACCUCAUCCAGGAACACGAUAGAUGGAGCACACGCUCGCGCCUGAGCGAACAGCUGACCGAAGCGUACCUGACAGAUCUACUAGAUGUCCCUCGUGCACGUAUAUACCGUCCAGCAGCUCCUGGAGACUCCGCUCUGAAACCCUCUUCUUGUGCUCCAGACGCUGCACGAACACCUUCAGCUUCACACAGGUCUGGUGACACACACUGGCUGCUGAUUUGCAGAUAUCCAUCUGC